rnacentral:rRNA from 1 species
AUUGAACGCUGGCGGCAUGCCUUACACAUGCAAGUCGAACGGCAGCACGGGAGCAAUCCUGGUGGCGAGUGGCGAACGGGUGAGUAAAGUAUCGGAACGUGCCCAGUCGUGGGGGAUAACGUAGCGAAAGUUGCGCUAAUACCGCAUACGGUCUAUGGAUGAAAGCGGGGGAUCGCAAGACCUCGGGCGAUCGGAGCGGCCGAUAUCAGAUUAGGUAGUUGGUGGGGUAAAGGCUCACCAAGCCGACGAUCUGUAGCUGGUCUGAGAGGACGACCAGCCACACUGGGACUGAGACACGGCCCAGACUCCUACGGGAGGCAGCAGUGGGGAAUUUUGGACAAUGGGCGCAAGCCUGAUCCAGCCAUGCCGCGUGCAGGAUGAAGGCCUUCGGGUUGUAAACUGCUUUUGUACGGAACGAAAAGGUUUGACUUAAUACGUUGGACUCAUGACGGUACCGUAAGAAUAAGCACCGGCUAACUACGUGCCAGCCGCCGCCGUAA